rnacentral:tRNA from 1 species
GCAGAUGUGGUGGAAUUGGUAGACACGCAAGCUUCAGGUGUUUGUGCCCGCAAGGCGUGAGAGUUCGAGUCUCUCCAUCUGCACCA